rnacentral:other from 1 species
UUCCAGUGCGCGUCUAGCAAGAAGCCUGCGUCCCGGGGAGUGCCGGCAGCGCCGCCGGCCGGUGCUCGGCGCGCCGGGCCAUGCAGCGGCGGCCGCCGCGGAGCUCCGAGCGGCGGUAGCGCCCCCUGUGAGGCGGCCAGAGAUGCCCCGGCCACUGUGAACGGUGCCGCCCGCCAGGACACGCUCAGCCCCGGCCACUGUAGGCUCUGCGCGCCCGCUACAGACACCGGGGCGAGGGAGCGGCGAGCGCGGCACAGGCCGCCCAGCAGGGGCAGGGGAAGCCGGCCGGUGCAGCGCGGGGACACGUACUCAGUCUGACUCGGGCUGGCACUG